rnacentral:rRNA from 1 species
GACGAACGCUGGCGGCGUGCUUAACACAUGCAAGUCGAACGGAAAGGCCCUGCUUUUGUGGGGUGCUCGAGUGGCGAACGGGUGAGUAACACGUGAGUAACCUGCCCUUGACUUUGGGAUAACUUCAGGAAACUGGGGCUAAUACCGGAUAGGAGCUCCUGCUGCAUGGUGGGGGUUGGAAAGUUUCGGCGGUUGGGGAUGGACUCGCGGCUUAUCAGCUUGUUGGUGGGGUAGUGGCUUACCAGGGCUUUGAAGGGUAGCCCGCCUGAGAGGGUGACCGGGCACAGUGGGCCUGAGAUACGGACCAGACUCCUACGGGAGGCAGCAGGGGGGAAUAUUGCACAAUGGGCGGAAGCCUGAUGCAGCAACGCCGCGUGCGGGAUGACGGCCUUCGGGUUGUAAACCGCUUUCGCCUGUGACGAAGCGUGAGUGACGGUAAUGGGUAAAGAAGCACCGGCUAACUACGUG